AUUGAACGCUGGCGGCAGGCCUAACACAUGCAAGUCGAACGGUAACAGGAAACAGCUUGCUGUUUCGCUGACGAGUGGCGGACGGGUGAGUAAUGUCUGGGAAACUGCCUGAUGGAGGGGGAUAACUACUGGAAACGGUAGCUAAUACCGCAUAACGUCGCAAGACCAAAGAGGGGGACCUUCGGGCCUCUUGCCAUCGGAUGUGCCCAGAUGGGAUUAGCUAGUAGGUGGGGUAACGGCUCACCUAGGCGACGAUCCCUAGCUGGUCUGAGAGGGUUACCAGCCAAACUGGAACUGAGACACGGUCCAGACGCCUACGGGAGGCAGGAGUGGGGAAUAUUGCACAAUGGGCGCAAGCCUGAUGCAGCCAUGCCGCGUGUAUGAAGAAGGCCUUCGGGUUGUAAAGUACUUUCAGCGGGGAGGGAGGGAGUAAAGUCAAUACCUUUGCUCAUUGACGUUACCCGCAGAAGAAGCACCGGCUAACUCCGUGCCAGCCGCCGCCGUAA
rnacentral:rRNA from 1 species